rnacentral:rRNA from 1 species
CGCGUAGGCGGCUUCUCAAGCGUGCGGUGAAAGCUCGGGGCUUAACUCCGAGUCUGCCGUGCGAACUGGGAGGCUUGAGUCUGGUAGAGGUCGAUGGAAUUCCGGGUGUAGCGGUGGAAUGCGUAGAGAUCCGGAAGAACACCGGUGGCGAAGGCGGUCGACUGGGCCAGAACUGACGCUGAGGCGCGACAGCGUGGGGAGCAAACAG